AAACGCUGGCGGCGUUGCCUAAAACAUGCAAAGUCGGCGAACAGAUGAGGAGCUUGCUCCUUUGACGUUAGCGGCGGAAAAAAGAGUAAAACGUGGGUAACCUACCUAUAAGACUGGGAUAACUUCUGGAAACCGGAGCUAAUACCGGAUAAUAUUUCGAACCGCAUGGUUCGAUAGUGAAAGAUGGUUUUGCUAUCACUUAUCCCUGGACCCGCGCCGUAUUAGCUAGUUGGUAAGGUAACGGCUUACCAAGGCGACGAUACGUAGCCGACCUGAGAGGGUGAUCGGCCACACUGGAACUGAGACACGGUCCAGACUCCUACGGGAGGCAGCAGUAGGGAAUCUUCCGCAUUGGGCGAAAGCCUGACGGAGCUACGCCGCGUGAGUGAUGAAGGUCUUCGGAUCGUAAAACUCUGUUAUUAGGGAAGAACAUACGUGUAAGUAACUAUGCACGUCUUGACGGUACCUAAUCAGAAAGCCACGGCUAACUACGUGCCAGCAGCCGCGGUAAUACGUAGGUGGCAAGCGUUAUCCGGAAUUAUUGGGCGUAAAGCGCGCGUAGGCGGUUUUUUAAGUCUGAUGUGAAAGCCCACGGCUCAACCGUGGAGGGUCAUUGGAAACUGGAAAACUUGAGUGCAGAAGAGGAAAGUGGAAUUCCAUGUGUAGCGGUGAAAUGCGCAGAGAUAUGGAGGAACACCAGUGGCGAAGGCGACUUUCUGGUCUGUAACUGACGCUGAUGUGCGAAAGCGUGGGGAUCAAACAGGAUUAGAUACCCUGGUAGUCCACGCCGUAAACGAUGAGUGCUAAGUGUUAGGGGGUUUCCGCCCCUUAGUGCUGCAGCUAACGCAUUAAGCACUCCGCCUGGGGAGUACGACCGCAAGGUUGAAACUCUAAGGAUUUGAC
rnacentral:rRNA from 1 species